AUUGAACGCUGGCGGCAUGCUUUACACAUGCAAGUCGAACGGUAACAGGUCUUCGGAUGCUGACGAGUGGCGAACGGGUGAGUAAUGCAUCGGAACGUGCCCAGUCGUGGGGGAUAACGCAGCGAAAGCUGCGCUAAUACCGCAUACGAUCUAUGGAUGAAAGCGGGGGACCGUAAGGCCUCGCGCGAUUGGAGCGGCCGAUGUCAGAUUAGGUAGUUGGUGGGGUAAAGGCCCACCAAGCCAACGAUCUGUAGCUGGUCUGAGAGGACGACCAGCCACACUGGGACUGAGACACGGCCCAGACUCCUACGGGAGGCAGCAGUGGGGAAUUUUGGACAAUGGGCGCAAGCCUGAUCCAGCCAUGCCGCGUGUCUGAAGAAGGCCUUCGGGUUGUAAAGGACUUUUGUCCGGGAGCAAAUAUCCAGUGCUAAUAACGCUGGGGGCUGAGAGUACCGGAAGAAUAAGCACCGGCUGACUACGUGCCAGCAGCCGCGGUAACAC
rnacentral:rRNA from 1 species